ensembl:lncRNA
GAAUGGCAGAGAGAGAGAGAGAGAGAGAGGUAGAGAGAGAGAAAGAGAGAGGUGCAGGGGUGGUGACAGGAGAAUGGCAGAGAGAGAGAGAGAGAGAGAGAGAGGUGCAGGGGGUGGUGACGGGAGAAUAGCAGAGAGAGAUUGAAGAAGCGCUUGUAUUGGCAUUGCCACAAAGAAGGCACGACUCCGGUCUACCUCUUCUCUGAUUGACAGAUGAGGAGGAGGAGCGAAUCCAGACAGCUCUUUCUCAACCAAUUGCAAUGAAAGGGGGUUCUGGUUGCUGCAGCAACAGCACACCUUGGCUACCUAUUGGAGGAGCUGGAAAG